UAGAAAUUAGUUUAUAGAAAAUAUUUAGUUGUCAGUUAAAAGAAAGUUUUUAAAAUUAUUUUUUC
rnacentral:tRNA from 1 species